AGCAACACCCAGGGAUGACGACUCUGCCACUGCCGUCACUCAGGCGUUGGUGUAGAGGACGCUGUCCACAGGAGGGCGUUCCAUUGGCCAGUCUGUCUGGUGGUGAGCUGUGAUUGGUCUGUUCAUCUUCCAGCUGCUCUCUGAUUGGUCAAAGCGUGGCGUUGUUGGCAGGCUGUAAAUGUUUGUUAGUUUCUCUAAAGAAAUAUGUCUAAAAUUAUAAAUAAAUACCUGCUGUGCAUCCGACUGGUGUCUGUUUAAAUAUGUGUCUAUAUCUGUCCCAAUGUGUGUGAUAAUAAAGUCUAAUGUGUGUGAAACUAAAAUAAAAUUUGAACA